UGGAACUGCCUCCCACUUCUGCGUGAAAGCUGAUUGUGUGUGUCACCUCCCAGCUCCUCGGUGACAUCAUUUAUGCUGGAAGUGGAAUGAAGAAACUGUUUCCAGGAAAAGGAAGUGAUCAUCGAUGUCGUGUGCUGCUGAUAUGUCAACUAAAAUGAGAACUGAGACUUGACUAUUGGGUUUAAUAGCCUGAAGAAAAGAGAAAAGAGAAAAAGACAAUUGCUUUAGGAGGCUAACAAAAGCUUCAUGGAUCAGUUGCCUUGGGGGAAGGCAAGAUUGUAAGAACAAGGCGAUAUAAGUCGACAGAUAUAUGUGAGCAGUCACAUAGGUGAGAAAAUUUUGUGUGUGUGUGUGUGUGUGUUUUAAUUAAAGGAGUGGAUAGAAUAUUGUUCACAAUGCUUGGAGUGUAGAAUACAUUUAUAAGGAAAGGACCUGGAUGAAAAUGCCUUGAAUAGAGAUUUGGCACUUGGACUAGAGCAAAAGAACUUAUCUAGGGAUUAGUUCAAGAGGUAAUGACCAAUGGAAGUUUUUUGACAAAGAAAGUAGCAUGACUAGAGGUAAGGAUUUACCUGGCAUAGGUUGUGGAAUAACUGAACAGGGGACAACCAA